AGGAGUUUAGGCUAAUAUUAGACCAAAGGCCUUCAAAGCCUUAAGUAGGGGUUAAACCCCCCUAAUUUCUG
rnacentral:tRNA from 1 species